rnacentral:rRNA from 1 species
UUAGUGGAAGCGUCUGGAAAGGCGCGCGAUACAGGGUGACAGCCCCGUACACAAAAGCGCAURUGCUGUGAGCUCGAUGAGUAGGGCGGGACACGUGGUAUCCUGUCUGAAUAUGGGGGGACCAUCCUCCAAGGCUAAAUACUCCUGACUGACCGAUAGUGAACCAGUACCGUGAGGGAAAGGCGAAAAGAACCCCGGCGAGGGGAGUGAAAAAGAACCUGAAACCGUGUACGUACAAGCAGUGGGAGCACAGGUUUACCUGUGUGACUGCGUACCUUUUGUAUAAUGGGUCAGCGACUUAUAUUCUGUAGCAAGGUUAACCGAAUAGGGGAGCCGKAGGGAAACCGAGUCUUAAYYGGGCGUUAAGUUGCAGGGUAUAGACCCGAAACCCGGUGAUCUAGCCAUGGGCAGGUUGAAGGUUGGGUAACACUAACUGGAGGACCGAACCGACUAAUGUUGAAAAAUUAGCGGAUGACCUGUGGCUGGGGGUGAAAGGCCAAUCAAACCGGGAGAUAGCUGGUUCUCCCCGAAAGCUAUUUAGGUAGCGCCUCGUGAACUCAUCUCCGGGGGUAGAGCACUGUUUCGGCUAGGGGGCCAUCCCGGCUUACCAACCCGAUGCAAACUGCGAAUACCGGAGAAUGUUAUCACGGGAGACACACGGCGGGUGCUAACGUCCGUCGUGAAGAGGGAAACAACCCAGACCGCCAGCUAAGGUCCCAAAGUCAUGGUUAAGUGGGAAACGAUGUGGGAAGGCCCAGACAGCCAGGAUGUUGGCUUAGAAGCAGCCAUCAUUUAAAGAAAGCGUA